GAGUUUGAUCCUGGCUCAGGAUGAACGCUAGCGGCAGGCUUAACACAUGCAAGUCGAGGGGCAGCAUAUUUGGUAGCAAUAUUAAAUGAUGGCGACCGGCGCACGGGUGCGUAACGCGUAUGCAACCUACCAUAUACAGGGGGAUAAUCUUUCGAAAGGAAGUCUAAUACCCCAUAGUAUUGUUAUUUGGCAUCAAAUGACAAUUAAAGAUUUAUUGGUAUAUGAUGGGCAUGCGUGCCAUUAGCUAGUUGGAGAGGUAACGGCUCACCAAGGCUACGAUGGUUAGGGGUUCUGAGAGGAAGGUCCCCCACACUGGUACUGAGACACGGACCAGACUCCUACGGGAGGCAGCAGUGAGGAAUAUUGGUCAAUGGGCGCAAGCCUGAACCAGCCAUGCCGCGUGCAGGAAGACGGCCUUAUGGGUUGUAAACUGCUUUUACAUAAGACUAACCGUAUAUUUGCGAAUAUACCUGAAUGUAUUAUGAGAAUAAGGAUCGGCUAACUCCGUGCCAGCAGCUGCGGUAAUACGGAGGAUCCGAGCGUUAUCCGGAUUUAUUGGGUUUAAAGGGUGCGUAGGCGGAAGAAUAAGUCAGUGGUGAAAGUUUGCAGCUCAACUGUAAAAUUGCCGUUGAAACUGUUUUUCUUGAGUGUAAAUGAGGUAGGCGGAAUGUGUUGUGUAACGGUGAAAUGCUUAAAUAUGACACAGAACACCGAUUG
rnacentral:rRNA from 1 species